rnacentral:hammerhead_ribozyme from 1 species
AUCCAACUGACGAGUCCCAAGUAGGAUGAAGUGUUCGUCCUGGAU